UGGAGCAACACCAACAGCCCUUAAGGCAUUCCUUCAGUGCCUAUAGGGUACACCAUUAGGCAUGUUGUCAAGACUGAGGGGUGUCCUUGAGAGAGAAUGGAGAAUGUCUAGAGACCAGAGACAGGCAUAUGGAAGCUGGCAUUCAGUCUCAGUAAAAGGGGAUCAAAAAGAUGGUUCUGGCCUAGGCAGAAGAGUGCUAGGCAGGACAUGGGGAGCUUCCUAGAGGAGGGGAUCCCAAGAUUGGAUGAAAGUCAUCAGUUCCUGCUGAAGCAGAGAAAGAUGCUAAUUCAGGAAAAGGACUUGGCAGAAAAGCUGAACCAUUAAUUUGAAGACUCCCAGAUGAGGUCCAAGAGCAAGGUCUUUGAGCAAGGUGCAUCAAGAUCAUGAUGAGGAAACCUACAAAGCCAACCAAACCAAACUUGUGGGAAUUCAUGAAAUUUAUCAACAGCUGUGGAGUCUGCCUGGGACUGGGCUAGGCCCUCUGCAUAUUGAGACAGUUGUUUAGCAUGAUUUUCUGAAUGGACUCCCUGGCAUUAAGAUCAGAAUCCAUCUCUGGUGCAAAGCAGGCUUUUUGAAACCCACUUCUAUGAUGGGACACCUAGCACAGCCUUGAGACAGGAGAAGGGGUUUAGACCUGCUUCUACUAAA